GNUGANGGAGCACGCCGCGUGAGUGANGAAGGUCUUCGGAUCGUAAAACUCUGUUAUUAGGGAAGAACAAGUGCGUAGGUAACUAUGCGCACCUUGACGGUACCUAAUCAGAAAGCCACGGCUAACUACGUGCCAGCAGCCG
rnacentral:rRNA from 1 species